CGGGCUUGCGGCUGCGGGAACU
rnacentral:misc_RNA from 1 species